AGAUGAGGGUGUAAUACUUAGAUUAGGGUGGACCCUAAUCCAAUGAUUGGUAUCCUUCUAAGAAGAGAAAGUGGGGGCCAGGCAUGGUCGCUCAUGCCUGUAAACCCAACACUUGGGAGACCAAGAUGGGUGGAUCACUUGGUUAUUGUUAUAACUGCUCUAGGAAAUGGAUAUGCCCAUCAAUGAGUUGGGGCGGCGGGGGGGGCGGGGGGUCACUCCUCUUCUCCCAGGGUGAAUGAGUGAUGGUGACAGUGGAAAGAGAUGUCCCCACGGUGACACCAGAGCAGGAAUCUCAGCCCAGGCCCCAAAUCAGAGAUUCUGAUUUAAUGGUUCAGUGAUAGAUCCAGGCCUGGGUAUUUUUUUUUUUAAAAACAAGUUUAUUGAGGUAUAAUUUGCAUACCAUAAAAUUCACCCAUCUUAAGUGUACCAUUGAAUGAU
rnacentral:lncRNA from 1 species